rnacentral:rRNA from 1 species
UUGACCUCGGAUCAGGUAGAAUACCGUGACUUAAGA